rnacentral:rRNA from 1 species
GACGAACGCUGGCGGCGUGCUUAACACAUGCAAGUCGAACGGAAAGGCCCUGCUUUUGUGGGGUGCUCGAGUGGCGAACGGGUGAGUAACACGUGAGUAACCUGCCCUUGACUUUGGGAUAACUUCAGGAAACUGGGGCUAAUACCGGAUAGGAGCUCCUGCUGCAUGGUGGGGGUUGGAAAGUUUCGGCGGUUGGGGAUGUACUCGCGGCUUAUCAGCUUGUUGGUGGGGUAGUGGCUUACCAAGGCUUUGACGGGUAGCCGGGCUGAGAGGGUGACCGGCCACAUUGGGACUGAGAUACGGCCCAGACUCCUACGGGAGGCAGAAGAGGGGAAUAUUACACAAUGGGCGGGAGCCUGAUGCAGCAACGCCGCGUGCGGGAUGACGGCCUUCGGGUUGUGAACCGCUUUCGCCUGUGACGAAGCGUGAGUGACGGUAAUGGGUAAAGAAGCACCGGCUAACUACGUG